rnacentral:rRNA from 1 species
UACGUAGGGUGCGAGCGUUAAUCGGAAUUACUGGGCGUAAAGCGUGCGCAGGCGGUUUUGUAAGCCAGAUGUGAAAGCCCCGGGCUUAACCUGGGAAUGGCAUUUGAUACUCGAGGGCUUGAGUACGGGAGAGGAGAGUGGAAUUCCCAGUGUAGAGGUGAAAUUCGUAGAUAUUGGGAAGAACACCGGUGGCGAAGGCGGCUCUCUGGACCGUAACUGACGCUGAGGCGCGAAAGCGUGGGGAGCAAACAGG